UACGUAGGGGGCUAGCGUUAUCCGGAAUUACUGGGCGUAAAGGGUGCGUAGGUGGUUUCUUAAGUCAGAGGUGAAAGGCUACGGCUCAACCGUAGUAAGCCUUUGAAACUGGUAAACUUGAGUGCAGGAGAGGAGAGUGGAAUUCCUAGUGUAGCGGUGAAAUGCGUAGAUAUUAGGAGGAACACCAGUUGCGAAGGCGGCUCUCUGGACUGUAACUGACACUGAGGCACGAAAGCGUGGGGAGCAAACAGGAUUAGAUACCCCGGUAGUCCCUGAGCGGG
rnacentral:rRNA from 1 species